AUGGCUCAUCUGGAUGUUUUCAAGAAGUUGCAUCUUGCUUGGAAAUCCUUAGGUUCUUGGAAGGAUAUAACUCUAGGUAAAAGUUUUUAUGAGUUUUAUUUUUUCCUUUCUUCAGAUAUGAGAUGUGUUUUUAAAUUUGGUUCUUGAAACAUGUUUUUUGGGGUUCUUUGAGUUUUUGCUUAGACCAAUGACUUUGUUCUAGUCACUAUGAAACUUACCAAAACUCAAUGUUGAAUGUGUAUGUAUACAUGGUCUACCUUUGGAGUAUUGACACCCAAGGGCUAUUUUCUCCACUACAAGAGGAGUUGAUACCUCUCUUUUGCUUGAUGAUUGCAAUAUGAACAAGAAGUGUGUUCUUUUCUUGUGAUCUUAUUGAUAUUGAUAUGCUUUCAGAAUUGUCUAACCAAAUAUUGAUGAAGAUCUCUAGUUUUGCUUUUGUUGUUGAUAUUGAAUAUGAAAACUUACCUCCUUUCUACUUUUCUUGCAAGAUGAUUGGGCACAAUAGCAAUAAUUGCAAAAGAUACAAGGUUGAAGAUAACAAUUUGUUAGUCUAGAGAAAGAAGUGAAUAUUGUUAAAUAGAUGUAUAUUCCUAAGAUAAAGAAGGACAAUGUUUCAGAUUUUCUUGAUACUAA
rnacentral:lncRNA from 1 species